rnacentral:rRNA from 1 species
GAUGAACGCUGGCGGCGUGCCUAAUACAUGCAAGUCGAGCGAACAGACGAGGAGCUUGCUCCUCUGACGUUAGCGGCGGACGGGUGAGUAACACGUGGAUAACCUACCUAUAAGACUGGGAUAACUUCGGGAAACCGGAGCUAGUACCGGAUAAUAUGUUGAAUCGCAUGGUUCAACAGUGAAAGACGGUCUUGCUGUCACUUAUAGAUGGAUCCGCGCCGCAUUAGCUAGUUGGUAAGGUAACGGCUUACCAAGGCAACGAUGCGUAGCCGACCUGAGAGGGUGUACGGCCACACUGGAACUGAGACACGGUCCAGACUCCUACGGGAGGCAGCAGUAGGGAAUCUUCCGCAAUGGGCGAAAGCCUGACGGAGCAACGCCGCGUGAGUGAAGAAGGUCUUCGGAUCGUAAAACUCUGUUAUUAGGGAAGAACAAAUGUGUAAGUAACUAUGCACGUCUUGACGGUACCUAAUCAGAAAGCCACGGCUAACUACGUG